UAUUCGUUCCGUUUCCGGCUCGCUCUCAGCUCCAUUUGGUUUGCUGCCUUUUCUGGGUGAAAUCGUAAGAAACGAUUCUUAAUUUUGGAACCAAGGAUUCCUUUUUUUUUUGCUACGCUUAUCAUUGAUCUCAUUUUCCUUGAUAUUUUUGUCCACGCGUUUGUUCCAUUCCUAAAUGGCUUGCGAUCGGUCGAUCUAAGAUUAGGGUUUCACUUCCCGUUCUUCAUUUUGUAUCUUGCUAAAAUCUACCUCGUUUUUGUGAAUUUUUGUCUGUGCAGAUUUAACGAGGGCACUGCCCCGAGAAUCUUUUGUACGAUCUACCAUUAUUUUUUUUAUUUAUUUUAAUACAAGUUGUAGAUUUAAAAGAUAAUUGACCUCCAAAGUCACCUUCUAAGUUUAGGGUUUUGGAAUGAGAAAUGGAUUUGCUGUAAUUUGUGGACUCAACUUCUACGCUGGACUUAAUUAGAUCAAUAAAUUAGUCCUUAUUUUGGCAACCGAACCCUGCUUCGAGUGGAAAUGUGAAUGAAAGAAUUAGGAAAGAACAAGUAAUAUCAACAAUGGGCGAAGUAGUUCAAAAGUUACGAGCGCCACUACUGUGAGAUCUCGGCAUCUCUGUCGCGCGAGUGUACAUCGACUGCUUCUCUGUGUGGAGAUCUCUGCUGAUGAAAGAUGAAAGCUGCUGAUGUCAACAGAGAGAUUAAACCCAUCUACUAAAAGUAGAUUGGUUAAAGGAGAGCAGAACAAUAUUGGGUGCAGAAACACUUGGUGUCUCAACUCGGCAAGACUUGCACCAACAGCAUCAAUCUCUCUUGUAUGCUUAUAAUGCACUACAUGGAGUGGAUGAUAACAUUGGUAAGAGUAGGAAAUUCCCCACGGGCAUGUCGAAAAGAAUGGAUAGGAGCAAGUGGGCAAUCGAUAGCAUCGACAUUGUGCUGGUUUUGGACAAUUCUGUUGAUCCUGUAGGUUGAGCUCACCCAUUAAGAAUUACUGCAAAUUUUGUUAAUUUAGUCUUCCAAUUCAUUACAUACUCGAGUGCUCUAUGAGGAUGGUUAUCAACUUUUUCAUGGAAAACGCUGCUUCGGUUUUUGAGUGUAGAUAUACAAA